AACGAACGCUGGCGGCAUGCCUAACACAUGCAAGUCGAACGAGACCUUCGGGUCUAGUGGCGCACGGGUGCGUAACGCGUGGGAACCUGCCCUUAGGUUCGGAAUAACUCCCCGAAAGGGGUGCUAAUACCGGAUAAUGUCUUCGGACCAAAGAUUUAUCGCCUUUGGAUGGGCCCGCGUUGGAUUAGCUAGUUGGUAGGGUAAAAGCCUACCAAGGCGACGAUCCAUAGCUGGUCUGAGAGGAUGAUCAGCCACACUGGGACUGAGACACGGCCCAGACUCCUACGGGAGGCAGCAGUGGGGAAUAUUGGACAAUGGGCGAAAGCCUGAUGCAGCAAUGCCGCGUGAGUGAUGAAGGCCGGAGGGUUGUAAAGCUCUUUUACCCGGGAUGAUAAUGACAGUACCGGGAGAAUAAGCUCCGGCUAACUCCGUG
rnacentral:rRNA from 1 species